UGAGGUGUAGGGACAUCCGGGCCAUCCGGGGACUAUGCCAAAGCGGACAAUACUUACCAAGGGUAGGGCUAUGACAAUUGGUAUCAGAGCCGGCCUCGUUCCCUCUGGCUGGUGGUGGGGCAAACCUCAGCGAGGACGCUGAGUCCCUUAGGGGGGGUGAAUGUGACAUCCUGGACAUCAGGGGGCAUCACCUUAGGCGAAUCCCACAUCGGCUACGGACGAGGUAAACGAUCUAUACAUAAGAGG
rnacentral:lncRNA from 1 species